AUUGAACGCUGGCGGCAGGCCUAACACAUGCAAGUCGAGCGGAUGACGGGAGCUUGCUCCUUGAUUCAGCGGCGGACGGGUGAGUAAUGCCUAGGAAUCUGCCUGGUAGUGGGGGACAACGUUUCGAAAGGAACGCUAAUACCGCAUACGUCCUACGGGAGAAAGCAGGGGACCUUCGGGCCUUGCGCUAUCAGAUGAGCCUAGGUCGGAUUAGCUAGUUGGUGGGGUAAUGGCUCACCAAGGCGACGAUCCGUAACUGGUCUGAGAGGAUGAUCCGUCACACUGGAACUGAGACACGGUGCAGACUCCUACGGGAGGCAGCAGUGGGGAAUAUUGGACAAUGGGCGAAAGCCUGAUCCAGCCAUGCCGCGUGUGUGAAGAAGGUCUUCGGAUUGUAAAGCACUUUAAGUUGGGAGGAAGGGAAGUAAGCUAAUACCUUGCUGUUUUGACGUUACCGACAGAAUAAGCACCGGCUAACUCUGUGCCAGCCGCCGCCGUAAAAC
rnacentral:rRNA from 1 species